rnacentral:rRNA from 1 species
CCUACGGGAGGCAGCAGUGGGGAAUAUUGGACAAUGGGCGAAAGCCUGAUCCAGCAAUGCCGCGUGAGUGAUGAAGGCCUUCGGGUCGUAAAGCUCUUUUACCAGGGAUGAUAAUGACAGUACCUGGAGAAUAAGCUCCGGCUAACUCCGUGCCAGCAGCCGCGGUAAUACGGAGGGAGCUAGCGUUGUUCGGAAUUACUGGGCGUAAAGAGUACGUAGGCGGUUAUUCAAGUCAGAGGUGAAAGCCCGGGGCUCAACCCCGGAACUGCCUUUGAAACUAGAUAACUAGAGUCUUGGAGAGGUUAGUGGAAUUCCGAGUGUAGAGGUGAAAUUCGUAGAUAUUCGGAAGAACACCAGUGGCGAAGGCGACUAACUGGACAAGUACUGACGCUGAGGUACGAAAGCGUGGGGAGCAAACAGGAUUAGAUACCCUGGUAGUCCACGCCGUAAACGAUGAUAACUAGUUGUUCGGUCACUUGGUGACUGAGUGACGCAGCUAACGCAUUAAGUUAUCCGCCUGGGGAGUACGGUCGCAAGNUUAAAACUCAAAUGAUAGAGCGUGAGAGUUGCGAGACGACACGAGGAGAGG